rnacentral:rRNA from 1 species
GCAUAAGAGUGCUUGACUGCAAGACGUACAUGUCGAGCAGAGACGAAAGUCGGACUUAGUGAUCCGGUGGUUCUGAAUGGAAGGGCCAUCGCUCAACGGAUAAAAGUUACCCCGGGGAUAACAGGCUGAUCUCCUCCAAGAGUUCACAUCGACGAGGAGGUUUGGCACCUCGAUGUCGGCUCAUCGCAUCCUGGAGCUGGAGCAGGUUCCAAGGGUUGGGCUGUUCGCCCAUUAAAGCGGUACGUGAGCUGGGUUCAGAACGUCGUGAGACAGUAAAAAAUGACCUUGCUGUCUAUAAAUUCGACUAUAUGCUGGGAAGUCUGGUAUAAUCAAAAUUCAUGCCAGAUUAUCAGCAGGAAAGGCUAGCAACAGGUUAUUAUAUCGCUGGCUUUGUUGAUGGCGAAGGAAGUUUUCAUGUUGCUUUUGAAAAAAGAUCAAGCGUUAAGCUUGGCUGGCAAAUAAUUCCGGAAUUUCAUGUCAGUCAGCAUCAAAGUAAUUUAAAGCUGCUUCGCAAUAUUCAACGGUUCCUUGGUUGCGGGACAAUUCGUCCCAAUCAUCAAGGUAGCAAGCGGGAUAAGACCUAUGUCUUGGUUGUCAGAAAUCGAAAAGAACUGGCAAACAUGAUAAUUCCUUUCUUUAUCAGGUUUAAGCUUCGUUCAACAAAGAAGAUGGAUUUUGAUAAAUUUAGAGCGGUUUUGAGCUUAUUGAACAAAAAUCGUCAUAAAACAAGAUCGGGUUUUGAUCGGAUUGUUGAGCUGGCUUAUUCAAUGAAUAAAGGGGGAAAAUAUCGUAAAAGAAACAAAGAAAAGUUGCUGGAAUCCUCAGAGACUAUACGUCGAACGGCCGCGCCAAGCGGCUAAAGAUAUAGUCCGAACUGCAUGGUGACAUGCAGAGCCGGUUAGAAAUAAUUGGCCUCUUGAUCAAAAUGAUCAGGAAGUAACAUAAUUGUCGGUCCAUAUCCGGUGCAGGCGCAAGGGAAAUUGAGAGGAGUCCUUCCUAGUACGAGAGGACCGGAAGGAACAGACCUCUAGUGUACCAGUUGUGGGGCCAACCCGCAAACGCUGGGUAGCUAUGUCUGGCAGGGAUAAAUGCUGAAAGCAUCUAAGCAUCAAGCCCACCUCAAGAUUAGUUUCCCCAUCUUCGUAGCAAUGCGAAGGGUAAGACCCCUUGCAGAACACAAGGUUGAUAGGCUGGAGGUGUAAAGGUGGCAACAUCUGAGCUGACCAGUACUAAUCGGUCGAGGACUUGAUCUUUCUC